rnacentral:rRNA from 1 species
UACGGGAGGCAGCAGUGGGGAAUAUUGCACAAUGGGCGCAAGCCUGAUGCAGCCAUGCCGCGUGUAUGAAGAAGGCCUUCGGGUUGUAAAGUACUUUCAGUCGUGAGGAAGGUGUUAAGGUUAAUAACCUUAGCAAUUGACGUUAGCGACAGAAGAAGCACCGGCUAACUCCGUGCCAGCAGCCGCGGUAAUACGGAGGGUGCGAGCGUUAAUCGGAAUUACUGGGCGUAAAGGGCACGCAGGCGGUUAAUUAAGUUGGAUGUGAAAUCCCCGGGCUUAACCUGGGAAUGGCAUUCAAGACUGGUUAGCUAGAGUCUUGUAGAGGGGGUUAGAAUUCCAUGUGUAGCGGUGAAAUGCGUAGAGAUGUGGAGGAAUACCGGUGGCGAAGGCGGCCCCUGGACAAGACUGACGCUCAUGUGCGAAAGCGUGGGGAGCAAACGAGGAUUAGAUACC